CCUACGGGAGGCAGCAGUGAGGAAUAUUGGUCAAUGGGCGGAAGCCUGAACCAGCCAAGUAGCGUGCGGGAUGAAGGCCCUACGGGUCGUAAACCUCUUUUGUCAGGGAACAAAGGCGGGGACGCGUCCCCGGAUGAGUGUACCUGAAGAAAAAGCAUCGGCUAACUCCGUGCCAGCAGCCGCGGUAAUACGGAGGAUGCGAGCGUUAUCCGGAUUUAUUGGGUUUAAAGGGUGCGCAGGCGGUCUGUUAAGUCAGCGGUCAAAGCCCGGGGCUCAACCCCGGCCCGCCGUUGAAACUGGCAGUCUCGAGUUGGAGAGAAGUAUGCGGAAUGCGCGGUGUAGCGGUGAAAUGCAUAGAUAUCGCGCAGAACUCCGAUUGCGAAGGCAGCAUGCCGGCUCCACACUGACGCUGAGGCACGAAAGCGUGGGUAUCGAACAGGAUUAGAUACCCGGGUAGUC
rnacentral:rRNA from 1 species